CCUACGGGAGGCAGCAGUGAGGAAUAUUGGUCAAUGGACGAGAGUCUGAACCAGCCAAGUAGCGUGAAGGAUGACUGCCCUAUGGGUUGUAAACUUCUUUUAUAAAGGAAUAAAACGAGGCACGUGUGCCUUUUUGCAUGUACUUUAUGAAUAAGGAUCGGCUAACUCCGUGCCAGCAGCCGCGGUAAUACGGAGGAUCCGAGCGUUAUCCGGAUUUAUUGGGUUUAAAGGGAGCGUAGAUGGGUUGUUAAGUCAGUUGUGAAAGUUUGCGGCUCAACCGUAAAAUUGCAAUUGAUACUGGCAGUCUUGAGUACAGUUGAGGUAGGCGGAAUUCGUGGUGUAGCGGUGAAAGGCUUAGAUAUCACGAAGAACCCCGAUUGCGAAGGCAGCUUACUAAACUGUGACUGACAUUGAUGCUCGAAAGUGUGGGUAUCAAACAGGAUUAGAUACCCUUGUAGUC
rnacentral:rRNA from 1 species